rnacentral:rRNA from 1 species
GAUGAACGCUGGCGGCGUGCCUAAUACAUGCAAGUCGAGCGAACAGACGAGGAGCUUGCUCCUCUGACGUUAGCGGCGGACGGGUGAGUAACACGUGGAUAACCUACCUAUAAGACUGGGAUAACUUCGGGAAACCGGAGCUAAUACCGGAUAAUAUAUUGAACCGCAUAGUUCAAUAGUGAAAGACGGUUUUGCUGUCACUUAUAGAUGGAUCCGCGCCGCAUUAGCUAGUUGGUAAGGUAACGGCUUACCAAGGCAACGAUGCGUAGCCGACCUGAGAGGGUGAUCGGCCACACUGGAACUGGGACAGGGUCCAGACUCCUACGGGAGGCAGCAGUAGGGAAUCUUCCGCAAUAGGCGAAAGCCUGACGGAGCAACGCCGCGUGAGUGAUGAAGGUCUUCGGAUCGUAAAACUCUGUUAUUAGGGAAGAACAAAUGUGUAAGUAACUAUGCACGUCUUGACGGUACCUAAUCAGAAAGCCACGGCUAACUACGUG